AUUUGCGGUGGCCAUGUAUAGGGCGUCCUAGGGCGCGCCGGAUCCUAACACCCGGUCUACCAACCUGUGCAUGGCCGCCACCCUU
rnacentral:antisense_RNA from 2 species